rnacentral:rRNA from 1 species
GAUGAACGCUGGCGGCGUGCUUAACACAUGCAAGUCGAACGAUGAAAGCGGGAGCUUGCUCCUGCUGGAUUAGUGGCGAACGGGUGAGUAACACGUGAGUAACCUGCCCUUGACUCUGGGAUGAGCGUUGGAAACGAAUUCUAAUACCGGAUACGACCUUCGGAGGCAUGUCCUGGGGGUGGACAGAAUUUCGGUCAAGGAUGGACUCGCGGCCUGUCAGGUAGUUGGUGAGGUAAUGGCUGACCAAGGAGACGACGGGGAGCCGGCCGGAGAGGGUGACCGGCCACACUGGGACUGAGACACGGCCCAGACUCCUACGGGAGGCAGCAGUGGGGAAUAUUGCACAAUGGGCGCAAGCCUGAUGCAGCAACGCCGCGUGAGGGACGACGGCCUUCGGGUUGUAAACCUCUUUUAGUAGGGAAGAAGCGAAAGUGACGGUACCUGCAGAAAAAGCACCGGCUAACUACGUGCCAGCAGCCGCAGUAAAAC